rnacentral:rRNA from 1 species
AAAAAAAAAAAGAAAUGCCCGAUCUCAUCUGAACUCGGAAGUAAAGCAGGGUCAGGCCUGGUUAGUACUUGGAUGGGAGACCGCCUGGGAAUACCAGGU